UUCAUUAAAAUACAUGUUUUCAUUUGAGACGUUACUACGUCUGCUCUGGUCACAGAGACUUUGCUCUGCUCUGCCGGUGUCUGUCUCCAACUUUAGCGGCAGCUGGUUUGACUACGGAGAAACGAGUGACGGACGGCGAGCUUGACCGCAGUCUGUUUCUGAGAUACAAUCACUGCACGCUGCUACAGUUUGCUGCUCUGCUGCAUCGCAGACUACUGAACA